UGUGUGGACGAAACGCACUUUUGGCGUAUUAAAUUGUAAACCUGGUGCCUUUUGUUAGCUAACAUUUGUGUGUUUCUUUGUCAAAUAUGUUCUCCUAUUUAUUUUUAUUGUAGUCCUGCAAUGUUGUGUUGUCAUUUUAAUGUUAUAUUAAACAUGGCCAUUAAAGCAGGAGGUUUGGCAUGCCUCAAAACCAGGUUCAACCCACCAUGAUUUCUUUAAAAAAAUGUGGUCAUUGUUAUAUUAUAGUUCGUUUAUGUGUGUGUUACAUUUUAACGUUGUGUUUCUUUUGUGUCGUUUGUUUCAUCGUAUAUUUGAGUGUGAAUUCACAUUAUUAUCAAACGUGUCACGGUACUUUUCUAUACCAAAUUCAUAUAUUUAGUUUUGAUGUUAUAUUGGUCAUUCUCAUUGGAUUUUGUGUAAUGAUUAGUCCGUUUCUGUGAGUGUUACAUUUUAAUGUUGUGUCGUCAUUCUCCUCUUAUAUUUUAUGCGUUUCCCUCGGUUUUGGUUAAUGACCCGGAUUUGUUUUUUUCUAUCAAUUUAUGAUUUUUGAACAUCGGUAUACUACUGUUGCCUUUAUUUACCUUUACCGCUUCAGGAGUAAAUUUUCACUGCCAUUAUAAUUGACUGACCAGUCGCCAAACGGCUCCAUAAAAAUGUUACUUUUAAUAAAGAAUUAUUGCGAAUAAAACAGACAAAAACGGUUGUUAUGUAGCUAAGAUAUACACAUGCAAAUUAAUAACUGAAAUAUUAUAAAUUA
rnacentral:lncRNA from 1 species